AGUGAACGCUGGCGGCAGGCCUAAUACAUGCAAGUCGAACGGCAGCACAGUAAGAGUUUGCUCCUACGGGUGGCGAGUGGCGGAUGGGUGAGGAAUACAUCGGAAUCUACUUUUUCGUGGGGGAUAACGUAGGGAAACUUACGCUAAUACCGCAUACGAUCUACGGGUGAAAGCAAGGGAUCUUCGGACUUUUCGCGUUUGUAUGAGCCGAUGUCGGAUUAGCUAGUUGGCGGGGUAAAGGCCCACCAAGGCAACGAUCCGUAGCUGGUCUGAGAGGAUGAUCGGCCACACUGGAACUGAGACACGGUCCAGACUCCUACGGGAGGCAGCAGUAGGGAAUAUUGGGCAAUGGGCGCAAGCCUGAUGCAGCAAUGCCGCGUGAGUGAAGAAGGCCUUCGGGUUGUAAAGCCCUUUUGUUAGGGAAGAAAAGCAGCAGAUUAAUACCCCGCUGUUCUGACGGUACCCAAAGAAUAAGCACCGGCUAACUUCGUG
rnacentral:rRNA from 1 species